UAAAUGAUAUUCUCCUCCUUAUCAUGAUAACAUUCCUAUUUCUUACGUGCUUGCAACUUGCCAUGGCGUUUUAUACUUUAUAUGGCUUUACAGAAGAUAGUGGGAUAGUGAAAUAUCUUAAAUAAUAGCGGGUUUUAUUCAAACAUCAUUUCAAAGAUAAAGAUGACUAAGGUGACUAGGAAGAGUCCUUUCAGUUUAUGGUGGGCAAUAAAAGUGAGGAUUCCUUGUUGUAGGAUGAUUUUCAGAGUCAAUACAUAAUAUGUGACCAAAGUCUUCCUCCCUGACCACCAUUUUGCAAGGAAAGCAUUGAUGUGGAUGCUGCAUAAAGAACAUGUUCAUGAUCUUCCUGUAGACACCAGAAAAAUGAAUUGAUUACUUCAUCAUACAACCAGCCAGCAGAGAUACAGAAUGUGGUCCAUUCCUUAAUAGUUUUGCGGUGAUUGAUGAAGAUUCUGUAAUGAGAGGAUUGCUGGUUGUUGACUUGCUGAUAUUUGAUGUUCUUUUUUUACGUUUCAUUGACGUUUUCCCGGCGUCAGGAGCUGUAAGUGCUAGUCCUGAAUCAGUAUUGCUGUUAUUCUCAAAUUCCUGAAGUGCAGACUGAAGACUCUUUUCCAGGCUGGCUAGUGAAGUUGAAUUAGUACACUCGUGGACCAAACUCUUUAUUCUAGAUAACAGAUCACAACACCUAGUAAUAGCUGUCCGUUUUGGGAACACUGGUUUAGGUAGAACAGCUGUCAUAGUUUGUUUUAUGUCAGCUUCUUCUGUUUCUUUUCUUGGUCAUGAAAACUUUCUGCACCACAAACUUGCUGAGCAUCGUCAACUCUUUUCAAAAUAUGAUCAAUUGGUUUGAACAAUAUAUCGACAUCUAAGGUCAGAAAUGGAGAAUCUUUAUAUGCUGUUGAUGUCCAACGUUCCCAUGCUUGCUCUCGAUGAAAAUCGCAAAGCAGCACUUUGCAGUCUGAAAAUAUACCCACAUGUUACACUCCAUGAUGAAUUGCAGAGCUACGUAGCCAUGGUGUUACAUGGUUGAUUUAGUGCAAUAAAGAAUGCCAGAUGUUUUGGUCAAAACCUCUUGCAGCUCGUGCCUCAUACCUGGAAAAACAAACUCAAUUGAUUUUAUUUCUUCUUCACAAAGAUCGGUCAUCAUAUGCUGUGGGUUCCAUCGUGGAUUCCAUUGAUGUAAAAUACUGAGAGCUUCUGUUAUACUAGCUGUUGUUUCAUCUUGUAUUACAAAGGAUGAAACGAUAGCAUAAUCAACAUUAGUCUUCACAGCAACAAAAAAUAAUGGCAAGGAAUACUUUGUGGUUUUGUAUGUGGCAUCUAGGAAAGCUAGUUCCUGACCAUAACGACAAAGUAACCUUGAUUGCCAAGCCGUUUGGUGUAUAAACAAAAGUCGCCCUUUUUGCUCCUUUGCAGUCGUCAUAACCUCUUCAUUUAAACUUAUGUCGUCAUCGCUGUCUUCUUCAUUUUAUUGCAAGACGAGCAUGUCAAACAAGAGCAUAUACCAUUCCAAGUCUGUGCGUGGUGUGAUCUUCUGGCCGCGGAAAUGAAAUAUAGAUUCUGCGUUCAGUUUUUACUGAGGAGCUGGGGUUUAUUAAAUGGGCUCGCAAAUCAGCAGAGGUCGUGUCACGUUUCUUCUUUUUAGCGUCAUGUGGCACCUAAAAAUAUUGCACUCUAAUCUUUUAGAAAAAAACCAAUUUAACAUGUGUAUACUUGUCGAUUUACUAUGAACAAAAAUAAAGCCACAGUAUAAGCAA